GACGAACGCUGGCGGCGUGCUUCAUACAUGCAAGUCGAACGAGAAAUUCACUUCGGUGGAUGGAAAGUGGCGGACGGGUGAGUAAUGUGUAGAGAAUCUGCCCUGGAGUGGGGGACAACAGAGGGAAACUCCUGCUAAUACCCCAUAUGCGCGUAGUUGCGAUACUAUUCGUGAAAGAUUUAUUGCUCCAGGAUGAGUCUGCAUCUGAUUAGCUAGUUGGGGUGUAAUGGACCACCAAGGCGACGAUCAGUAGCUGGUCUGAGAGGACGACCAGCCACACUGGGACUGAGACACGGCCCAG
rnacentral:rRNA from 1 species